GACGAACGCUGGCGGCGUGCCUAAUACAUGCAAGUCGAGCGGACCGGCUUGGGGCUUGCCUUGAUUCGGUCAGCGGCGGACGGGUGAGUAACACGUGGGCAACCUGCCCGCAAGACCGGGAUAACUCCGGGAAACCGGAGCUAAUACCGGAUAACACCGAAGACCGCAUGGUCUUCGGUUGAAAGGCGGCCUUUGGGCUUUCACUUGCGGAUGGGCCCGCGGCGCAUUAGCUAGUUGGUGAGGUAACGGCUCACCAAGGCGACGAUGCGUAGCCGGCCUGAGAGGGUGACCGGCCACACUGGGACUGAGACACGGCCCAGACUCCUACGGGAGGCAGCAGUAGGGAAUCUUCCGCAAUGGGCGAAAGCCUGACGGAGCGACGCCGCGUGAGCGAAGAAGGCCUUCGGGUCGUAAAGCUCUGUUGUGAGGGACGAAGGAGCGUCGUUCGAAGAGGGCGGCGCGGUGACGGUACCUCACGAGAAAGCCCCGGCUAACUACGUG
rnacentral:rRNA from 1 species